CAGUCGCCGCGGGAAUACGAAGGGUGCAAGCGUUACUCGGAAUUACUGGGCGUAAAGCGUGCGUAGGUGGUGGUUUAAGUCCGUUGUGAAAGCCCUGGGCUCAACCUGGGAAUUGCAGUGGAUACUGGGCCACUAGAGUGUGGUAGAGGAUAGUGGAAUUUCCGGUGUAGCAGUGAAAUGCGUAGAGAUCGGAAGGAACAUCUGUGGCGAAGGCGACUAUCUGGGCCAACACUGACACUGAGGCACGAAAGCGUGGGGAGCAAACAGGAUUAGAUACCCCAGUAGUCCCUGUCUCUUAUAC
rnacentral:rRNA from 1 species